UACGUAGGCAGCAAGCGUUGUUCGGAGUUACUGGGCGUAAAGGGUGUGUAGGCGGUUGUUUAAGUUUGGUGUGAAAUCUCCCGGCUCAACUGGGAGGGUGCGCCGAAUACUGAAUGACUAGAGUGCGGGAGAGGAAAGUGGAAUUCCUGGUGUAGCGGUGAAAUGCGUAGAUAUCAGGAGGAACACCGGUGGCGAAGGCGGGUCUCUGGGCCGUAACUGACGC
rnacentral:rRNA from 1 species